rnacentral:lncRNA from 1 species
AUGGAAACAAUGGAGAAAGAUAUUGUCGCCAAAGAUACAAAAGGCUUUGAUUCCUCAUCUCCAUCAGAGCUUGACAGGAAGUUUUUUGGGGAACAGAGUUUGCUGUCUGCUUUGUCUCUGGAACAUCUGUCUACAUGUAGAACGUCAAGUGACACAUUAGCUGAUGAAUCUAAUGACCGGGUAUCAAUUCUGGCUUCUCUCUGCUUGUCAUCGGAUGCCCUUACUUCCCCUCAAGUGUUUUCAACAAACAGCUUGAAUACUCAAGAGACAAACAAUUGUCCACUGACCAUUCCAUUACUGGGAAAGUCAUCUACUCCAUAUAUGCUUCUUCAAAAGCAAAAAAAGCCUGCUUGUUUUGACCUGUGUGUAUGCCAGAUGUCUUGGGAUGUGUCUUUAAUUAAUUCAGAAAACAGCCCCAAACCUUACACUGAGUCGAGCGCUGUGGAGUCAACACAAAGUCCAAAACCUGAGUCAAAACAUUUCUAGCUGAGGUUUGUCCCUGAUGGCACUGGAUUCGUUAAAAUGAUCCAUGUCAAGAGCCAACUGAAGACAUGUUCAAUUUAAACAAGAUUUUUUUUUUCUUUUAAUAAGAUGACAGAAAUUGACCUUAAAUAAACGUAUCUGCCUUUUAUUUGUUUGUAUCUUG